rnacentral:rRNA from 1 species
UACGGAAGGCAGCAGUGGGGAAUAUUGCACAAUGGGCGCAAGCCUGAUGCAGCCAUGCCGCGUGUAUGAAAAGGCCUUCGGGUUGUAAAGUACUUUCUAGUCGUGAGGAAGGUGUUAAGGUUAAUAACCUUAGCAAUUGACGUUAGCGACAGAAGAAGCACCGGCUAACUCCGUGCCAGCAGCCGCGGUAAUACGGAGGGUGCGAGCGUUAAUCGGAAUUACUGGGCGUAAAGGGCACGCAGGCGGUUAAUUAAGUUGGAUGUGAAAUCCCCGGGCUUAACCUGGGAAUGGCAUUCAAGACUGGUUAGCUAGAGUCUUGUAGAGGGGGUAGAAUUCCAUGUGUAGCGGUGAAAUGCGUAGAGAUGUGGAGGAAUACCGGUGGCGAAGGCGGCCCCCUGGACAAAAGACUGACGCUCAUGUGCGAAAGCGUGGGGAGCAAAACAGCAUUAGAUACC